CAAAAGGAGAAUCACCAAAUUAAUACGUGGUGGAAAGAGUCUGGAUUGGGAGAGGAGAUGAAGUUUGCUAGAGACCAGCCACUAAAAUGGUACUUGUGGUCCAUAGCAAUUCUCACAGAUCCAAGCUUGUCUGAGCUUAGGGUUGAGCUCGUUAAGCCCAUCUCUCUCGUGUACAUUAUUGAUGACAUAUUUGAUGUCUAUGGCAAGGUUGAUGAGCUAAUUCUCUUUACAGGAGUCAUUAAAAGAUGGGAUGAUGCGUGUGCUGAGCAGCUUCCAGAGUAC